GACAGAGUGGCGGAGCGUCUAACGCGUUAGACUCAAGCGAAAGCUUGCCACUGUUUCCCAGUGGUGAACAUGAGUAUUCUAAUCCUCGAAUGAGGGCGUGGGUUCAAAUCCCACCUCUGUCA
rnacentral:tRNA from 1 species